GAGGUUGUAGCUCAGUGGUAGAGUGUGCUUGCCUUGCAUGCAUGAGGCCCUGGGUUCGAUCCUCAGUACCACA
rnacentral:tRNA from 1 species